GAGAGCUUGCUCUCAAGAAGUUAGCGGCGGACGGGUGAGUAACACGUGGGUAACCUGCCCAUAAGACUGGGAUAACUCCGGGAAACCGGGGCUAAUACCGGAUAACAUUUUGAACUGCAUGGUUCGAAAUUGAAAGGCGGCUUCGGCUGUCACUUAUGGAUGGACCCGCGUCGCAUUAGCUAGUUGGUGAGGUAACGGCUCACCAAGGCAACGAUGCGUAGCCGACCUGAGAGGGUGAUCGGCCACACUGGGACUGAGACACGGCCCAGACUCCUACGGGAGGCAGCAGUAGGGAAUCUUCCGCAAUGGACGAAAGUCUGACGGAGCAACGCCGCGUGAGUGAUGAAGGCUUUCGGGUCGUAAAACUCUGUUGUUAGGGAAGAACAAGUGCUAGUUGAAUAAGCUGGCACCUUGACGGUACCUAACCAGAAAGCCACGGCUAACUACGUGCCAGCAGCCGCGGUAAUACGUAGGUGGCAAGCGUUAUCCGGAAUUAUUGGGCGUAAAGCGCGCGCAGGGGUUUCUUAAGUCUGAUGUGAAAGCCCACGGCUCAACCGUGGAGGGUCAUUGGAAACUGGGAGACUUGAGUGCAGAAGAGGAAAGUGGAAUUCCAUGUGUAGCGGUGAAAUGCGUAGAGAUAUGGAGGAACACCAGUGGCGAAGGCGACUUUCUGGUCUGUAACUGACACUGAGGCGCGAAAGCGUGGGGAGCAAACAGGAUU
rnacentral:rRNA from 1 species